rnacentral:rRNA from 1 species
GAAAAAUUUUGGAUUAAAUACCUCAUAGUAUGUGAGAAUCGCAUGGUUUUCACAUUAAAAGUUCCAACGGUAAAAGAUGAGCAUGCGUCCCAUUAGCUAGAUGGUAAGGUAACGGCUUACCAUGGCUACGAUGGGUAGGGGUCCUGAGAGGGAGAUCCCCCACACUGGUACUGAGACACGGACCAGACUCCUACGGGAGGCAGCAGUGAGGAAUAUUGGACAAUGGGCGCAAGCCUGAUCCAGCCAUGCCGCGUGCAGGAUGACGGUCCUAUGGAUUGUAAACUGCUUUUGUACAGGAAGAAACACUCCCUCGUGAGGGAGCUUGACGGUACUGUAAGAAUAAGGAUCGGCUAACUCCGUGC